UUUCUCUCUUUCAAUUUUUUCUGAAAAUAAAUUUUGGUAAAAAGCUAAAUAAUUUGUUGAAAUAAAUAGCUGUUUUUGGUAAUUAAGAUAGUAGUCUUUGGAAAUUUUCCGCUGUCAUCAUCCAGAAUUAUGGAAAAUGAAAAAAAUAGGAAACCCAUAUUUUUUUUUUUUUUUAAUCGGUUAAAACUC